rnacentral:rRNA from 1 species
GAUCAACGCUGGCGGCGUGCAUAACACAUGCAAGUCGAACGAUGACGAUUAAAGGAUUUCUUCGGAAUGAACUUAAUUGGAUUAGUGGCGGACGGGUGAUUAACGCCUGAUUAACCUUCCUUGUACAAGGGGAUAGCCGUUCGAUACUACGAAUAAUACCCUAUGACAUCAAGUAAUCGCAUUUUAAUUUGUUCAAGGAUUUAUCGGUAUAAGAUGGACUCGCGUCUGAUUAGCUUGUAGGUAGAGUAAAAGCCUACCAAGGCAACGAUCAGUAGCCGGCUUGGGGGAGUGUACGGGACUCUUGGGAGUGGGACAAGGCCCAGACUCCUACGGGAGGGAGCAGGGGGGAAUUUUGCACAAUGGGGGAAAGCCGGAUGCAGCGAGGCCGCGUGAUUUAGAAGGCCUGCGGGUUGUAAAAAUCUUUUGUAUGGGAAGAAAAUGACAGUACCAUACGAAUAAGGACCGGCUAAUUACGUG